AAUAGAUACCCCGGUAGUCCAUGCCGUAAACGUUGGGCACUAGGUGUGGGGCUCAUUCCACGAGUUCCGUGCCGCAGCAAACGCAUUAAGUGCCCCGCCUGGGGAGUACGGCCGCAAGGCUAAAACUCAAAGGAAUUGACGGGGGCCCGCACAAGCGGCGGAGCAUGCGGAUUAAUUCGAUGCAACGCGAAGAACCUUACCAAGGCUUGACAUGCACGGGAAGCCACCAGAGAUGGUGGUCUCUUUGGACACUCGUGCACAGGUGGUGCAUGGUUGUCGUCAGCUCGUGUCGUGAGAUGUUGGGUUAAGUCCCGCAACGAGCGCAACCCUCGUCCCAUGUUGCCAGCGGGUUAUGCCGGGGACUCAUGGGAGACUGCCGGGGUCAACUCGGAGGAAGGUGGGGAUGACGUCAAAUCAUCAUGCCCCUUAUGUCUUGGGCUUCACGCAUGCUACAAUGGCCGGUACAAAGGGCUGCGAUACCGUAAGGUGGAGCGAAUCCCAAAAAGCCGGUCUCAGUUCGGAUUGGGGU
rnacentral:rRNA from 1 species